rnacentral:rRNA from 1 species
GGAGGCAGCAGUGGGGAAUAUUGCACAAUGGGCGAAAGCCUGAUGCAGCAACGCCGCGUGAGGGACGACGGCCUUCGGGUUGUAAACCUCUUUUAGCAGGGAAGAAGCGAAAGUGACGGUACCUGCAGAAAAAGCGCCGGCUAACUACGUGCCAGCAGCCGCGGUAAUACGUAGGGCGCAAGCGUUAUCCGGAAUUAUUGGGCGUAAAGAGCUCGUAGGCGGUUUGUCGCGUCUGCUGUGAAACCCCGAGGCUCAACCUCGGGCCUGCAGUGGGUACGGGCAGACUAGAGUGCGGUAGAGGAGAUUGGAAUUCCUGGUGUAGCGGUGGAAUGCGCAGAUAUCAGGAGGAACACCGAUGGCGAAGGCAGAUCUCUGGGCCGUAACUGACGCUGAGGAGCGAAAGGGUGGGGAGCAAACAGGCUUAGAUACCCUGGUAGUCCACCCCGUAAACGUUGGGAACUAGUUGUGGGGUCCAUUCCACGGAUUCCGUGACGCAGCUAACGCAUUAAGUUCCCCGCCUGGGGAGUACGGCCGCAAGGCUAAAACUCAAAGGAAUUGACGGGGACCCGCACAAGCGGCGGAGCAUGCGGAUUAAUUCGAUGCAACGCGAAGAACCUUACCAAGGCUUGACAUAUACGAGAACGGGCCAGAAAUGGUCAACUCUUUGGACACUCGUAAACAGGUGGUGCAUGGUUGUCGUCAGCUCGUGUCGUGAGAUGUUGGGUUAAGUCCCGCAACGAGCGCAACCCUCGUUCUAUGUUGCCAGCACGUCAUGGUGGGAACUCAUGGAAUACUGCCGGGGUCAACUCGGAGGAAGGUGGGGAUGACGUCAAAUCAUCAUGCCCCUUAUGUCUUGGGCUUCACGCAUGCUACAAUGGCCGGUACAAUGGGCUGCAAUACCGCAAGGUGGAGCGAAUCCCAAAAAGCCGGUCCCAGUUCGGAUUGAGGUCUGCAACUCGACCUCAUGAAGUCGGAGUCGCUAGUAAUCGCAGAUCAGCAACGCUGCGGUGAAUACGUUCCCGGGUCUUGUACACACCGCCCGUCAAGUCAUGAAAGUCGGUAACACCUGAAGCCGGUGGCCCAACCC